CUUGUGCCACGGUGGCCCAAAUGUCAGUCAACCAGACAUGUCUUCUGAGAGUUCCCAGGAAUGUGGUGAAGAGCAACUGUAAGCGAUAAGAUUGUUCCCAGCGCUAAUAAAACUUUGGAGUUAAUUAACUGAGAAGAAGGUAAAAUGAAAUGUUGUUAUGAGGGCUAAAGUUGUUUUUCUACCUUUUUGAAAAUUAUUUUUUAUCUGUUGAAAUUAUAAUAUAAUUAUCAUCUCUCCUUCUUUUUGCUCCCCUCUCAGAAAUUAACAGCCUUGAGUUGCAGGUGGAAGGUGCAGAAGCCAAAUUAAAAACAGUCUUUUCAGGCUGAGCUCAGGAGCCUGAAUUUCCAUGCUGUAAGUGGCUGGGAUCCACUGGAGGAUUUUAAUUGUGUAAGUUGACAAGAUCAGAUUUGCUAUUCAGAAAGCACACCCUGGCACAGAUCGGUGGGUGGAAUAGAAAGUGGUUGCCCUGGAGACAGGCAGACCCAUUAGGAAGCUCUGACAAAGAUCCAGGAGAGAGAAAAUGAGGAUAGUGGUUGGAGGAAUGAGCAGAUUCAAAGACAUUUUAGAGGUGGAACGGAUGGUCGGGAGACGCUCAUUCAGUGUAAAUGCUGAAGGAAAGGAAGAACCAAGGAGCGCUGUGGUUUCCAGCUUGGAUUUCUAUAUGGAUAGUGAAUAAUUAAUGAAGAUGUGGCGGGCGGGCAUAAUGGGGACUUAAGAGGGAGGUAGUUGUAGAUGGACGUGAUCAAUAUACAUUUGUUUAAAUGUGUAUAACUUUCAAAGAGUAAGAGAAUUAUUAUUUUAAUAGAUCAAGGUAUAAAAUACAAAAAAAAGUCAAAUGGGGGGGGGGGUUUGCUAAUGAAUUCAUAUGUGACCUGUUGAAUUUGAUGUAUCUUUUGGACUUGUAGGUGAAGAAGUCACAUGUGGUGAAUAUAUUAUCAUCAGAAUGCGGAGCAAUGAAAUGUAAACAGAUAGGAAUCGUCACUAAAGCUCCAACUGCAGCCUCCGGGUGCCAUAGCUUUUGCACCAUCCAUUUGCACCAUCUCUGCAGUAAGUCCUAGCUCAAGCCUUACUCCAAAGUACAAAUUAGCAUAGCAGCUCAGUCAACAAUGCCUCCGAGCUUCUGGAAAGAAAGAUGCUCAGUCACCAUAGACCCAGAAUUAAUGAAAAGUCACAGAAAUAAUAGCUCCAUUCUCUACUUGCUUCUGAACCUCAAAUCAGUGGUUGGCAACAAGGAUGUCUGCAUCAUCUGUAUUGACCUGCUCCCCAGAUUAAUACCGAAGCACUGCAAUUUCUUGAGGAUUAUCCACCUAGGAGGAAAUGAUACGCUGGCCCAUCCAUAGUAGUCAAGAAACAGUCUGAGAUCCAAAAAGUGGCUUAAAAGAGGGAAAAGUUAAUCAAAAUGUCUGUGAAGCUCUGGCUUCAGUCUCUCCAGCGAGGCUUUCUGAAGCACAGCUCUGAUAGAACUAAACCCAAUGAGACACCGCCUACAAGAGGAAUCCAGCGUGUGAACGAAGACUAAAAAGCAAAACAGCAGCGUCUGGAGUGGACAGCUUCUCUCACUCAGAGAACUGUAGCCUCAAAUUCCUGGCAGAGGUUUCUUGGAAGAGAAGAAUGAGAUUGGAUCUGAGAAAAUGUGGCUGGGAACCACCAUCUCAGAUGGUAGAAACCACUCAGAAGGAUCAACUGCUGCAGACGGGAAGAGGAGCAACCUCGUGAAUAAUUUCGUGACAGGAUAUUGCAGGAGGGACUUUGUCCAAAUGUGUGCAGGGUAGUUGGCUACAGCAACAAGGAUGACGAACACAGAUGAAUUGAUCAGGAUGUAACCAUUCAAAGUUGAGAGGAUUAGAGGACUUCUCCGAGGCGGCUCCAAUGGAUGCCAGCAGAGUUAAAGUGUCCAAUGGAGAGAAGAGAAGGCUUGGGAAAUCCAGAGUCCAUUCAUUCAUCGCCCUCCUCCUAGAACAACAAAAGCGAGCCCCAGUACUCAUCAGCAUGGACUCUGUGUGUAGUCAUCUCCCUUAGUUUCAGAGGUUCCUGCCUACAGCAAAACUUUAGAGGCUUAGAGUUUAACGGUCAUAGCUUAUUCACCUCCAACUGUGUCCUAGUUCAAGAGAAACACUUCACAUAUCUGUAGGGAGAAGAUAAUGAACCAAGGAUACAAGUUAAGCCUUAGCUAAGACCUGUUACUCAGGAAAAAGAGCUAAAACAAGCUGCUUAGAUCAGCACCAAUGUUAGGUAGAGAGAAAAAGAAACGCUGCAUAGAAAUCUUAAGGUUCACAUGUGCUCCAGGCUGGGUCAACAACUUCUAAUUUCCUUUGCCAACCAACCAUGUCUUUGACAGAAAUGAUCCUUCUACAUAGACCACAGAGGGAUCCAAUGGAGGUUUCUCUUCCUGAAUUUGGGGAUUCAGAAUCUGGACAAAUUCCUUUCCAUCAAAGUCCAGUACAAAAGUAGUACCAUGGCAGUCCCUGCAGGGACUUGCAUCACUUUCCCUAGAGAUAUCAAGAGAAUUUUUAGUGAUAAGAAUAUGGCACAAAAUGAGAAAUCCCAUUACUCUUAAGAGAAUCUCUUCCUUCUCAAAGGCACCUGAUUAAUACAUAUAGUACUAUCAGUAAGGCUGAGCAAAAGGAUACUGAUGUUCUGAGUGAUCUUAAAUCAUGUAAUAAUAACUUUAUUCGUAGUAUAGAACGGAAUAUUCCCUAUUAGUAAUCAGUUCCUUUGCCAGAUCCUCAUAGUAUCUUAGUCACUGUUUUAUUGUUAUGAAGAGAAACUUUGACCACAGCACCUCUUAGAAAAAAGGAAGCAUUUAAUCGGGACUUCCUUAUGGUUUCACAGUUUUACAUAAUUGUCAACAUGGCAGAGAACAUGGGGGCACGCAAACAGACAUGGUGCUGGAGAAGUAGCGGAGAAUAUACAGCAACAUAUAGAUACAAAAUAUAGAUACAUAUAGAUACAGAAUAUAGAUACAUAUAGCUACAUAUAGAUCUGCAGGCAGCAGGAAGAGACUGGGACAAGGCCAUACCUUCUAAGGCUUCUCAAGGAGUGUCACUUCCUGAUGACCAAGCAUUCAAGUGUAUGAGCUUAUGGGAGCCAUUCUUAUUCAAGCCACCACACAUAGCAAAGCUGAUAAUGUCAUUUUCUGAAUUAACCAGGCCAAGGCACACUUCUUAGCAACAUGGUUACCUGGUAACCAGAGAUUUUUCUCAUCCCAUGAGAGAUUUCAUUCAAGAACUGAUCUUCUAACAGUUUUGUCUCUCUUAAGAAUGCUACAGACAGGGUGGGGUGAGGCACAGUGCUGAAGCCCCUCAAGUUUCCCAGAGGGAUGAGUCCAUGAAAGACGAAAAUCAUGUGGUCACACUGAGCAUAGACUUCACAAGCAUCAUGCUAGGAUUCCAUUUUCUUUCUCAACACAAUGAUAAAUUCUUCUUCCAAUAAGCAGAAAAUCAUCCAAUGGGAAAAAAAAAUAAAACCAACUAACUUGCAGUCCUUUGGAACAGUUUCAUAGCUUACAGGAUGGCUUCAUAACCCUGGGGACACUCGUUUUGACAUGAAAACUUCCUUCAGAACAGGAAUUCUGAUCCAACAUGUGCUCAGACAUCAUUUCAGUCACUUGCAAAUGAACAAGAAAGCUCAUGUAAAUGAGGAGGCUCAACUCCCAGGCCUGGUGAGUGGGUAAGACAUUCCUCUGCUGGGUUUUGAAGGCUGUCUGAAACCAUCGGCUGACAUCCUUCUCUGUGUGCAUGUAUGCACUAUCUACGGGAAAUUCAGCUCCAACCGGUUGUCUCUACAGCUCCCUUAAUCUUCUCCUCCCUCCUCCUGGCAUUGGCAUGUGUCCCAGGACUGCAGCGAGGAGUGCUUACCAACAAAGGUGCUGGCAUCUGCAUUUGUUUCACAGCCACAAACCUAAUGGUUCCAUGAUUUUGGCGAGCAAAACUGUCAAAAUGCCUGAGCACAAGAGAUCACAAGAUGAGCCAAGGCAUAGUGUGCAUGCCUUCCUUCCCAGCACUCGGAAGGCAGAGGCAAGGGGAUCUCUGUGGGUUCAAGGCCAGCCUGAAUCACAAGGUGUACUGGGGAUUCUUUUUUAUUGUUUUCCUUUUGCUAUCUGGAAUAGUUUGAGAUUGUAUUUGAUCAGUGCAUUAAACAAC
rnacentral:lncRNA from 1 species